AGGGAGAGAAGGAGGAGAGAGAGGGAGGGAGGGAGAGAGAGAGAGUGCUGGACAGUGGAUGGGUUAAGGGUGAGGAAAACAGCUGUUCUAUUGGAAUUUGAUUGUUUUUUUAAUAGAUUAGCCAAAAGUAUGCUUGCCUUAUCAAUGGGGGAGGGAGAGGAGAAAAUUAGGAACUCAAAAUUUGUUUAAAACGUUUUUUACACAUAAUUGGGAGAAAAGACAAAACAAUUCAGAAGAAAGCAGUAUUAAAGAUAAAUGGAGUUAAUGCAAUAAAAUGAAAGCUAGCAACUGUUUAGGAAAACGCAGCAAGAUAAAGACAAUCUCAGAAUAAAAAUCGGCAGCUAGAGCAAAAUUUAUUCUUGGCAAGUGAGUCCCCCAAAAGCAGGAGUUGUAAGUGUGUUAUCUGGAGGAGGAAAACCAGUUGCAAUAUGUAGAUAAAAAUUUGUAACAAAAGGAACCAUAGAGAACAAGUUGUCAAUGUUCAACUUGGAUGAUACAAAUAUGAUGUUUGGAUUCAGGGGAAAAAUUUACUGAAUACUAACAAGAGACACAAAAUCCAGACAAAGGCGAAGAAAUCUCUUCUUAGUCUACCUUCUAAGUCACACAAGCCCUAUAGACUACAAAGACAUUUAAACAAUGGAGAUAUUAAAUUGUUGUUGUGCAGGCUUUUUAAAUUGACAAUUUAGUUUGUGCAUAAUAAGACCCUUCAGCCCAGAAACCCACUAGCAACCCCCACUUCCCUUUGGUGCUUUUCAUCUCCCUUCCUGAGAUGUCAGGGUGGUCGUGUUCAUCUCCUUUUGCUUUCACCGCCUUUCCUGAGAAGUCGGGGAGGGUGUGAUCUCCCCUUGAGGGCUCUGACCUCCCUGAGGAGUCAGGGAUGGCAUGACCACCUGUGUUCUAAAACAAAAGAAAGCAGGAGAUGUAAUGGGCUGAGGCUUGAGUUGAUGCACUGAGGUCCCAAGCACGUGAGGCUAAAUAGUAAUUGGGCUAUACUCUAUUAAUAUACGUGAUUAGAUAAAGAAUGGCCCACUCUCUGUGCAAGUCCUGAUGUGUUGUAUAGGAAAUGACAAUUUUGGUGGGUGGAGGCAGAGAGACAGGAAGAGAGGCUGGGAGAGAUUGGGCCUGGGUUCUAUUCUGGUGGCUGCUAAUCUUGUGGCUUCUGGUCUAGCUAAGCUUCUUGACUCGGCUGCACACAUUGCUAUCGCUGAUUCUCUUCCACCUCUGAUCUUUCUUCAUCUCCACUGAGAAUAAAAUUUGACGAUUUUCCCCUAACCUGAAUUUCUGACUCCAGCUGAUUUUAAAAUACGUGGUCUACAAAAGGUCAAGAAUAUCAAGGGAAAUUGAAAAAGGUACCUAAUGAUGCUGGAUCUCAAACUAUUGUUCAUUGACCCACUUGGGGUUUUCUUGGCAAAGAUACUGGAGGGGUUUGCCAUUUCCUUCUCCAGUUCAUUUUUCAGAUGUGGAAACUGAGGCACACUGAGUUAAGUGACUUGCUCAGGAUCCCAGCAGCCAGUGUCUGAUGGCAGAUUUAAACUUGGGGUGGGGGGUGGGGAAGGGGAGAGAGAGGGGAAAUGCAGGUGUGGUGCUCUAUUCUCUCUGCCAUCUGGCUGCUCCAAGUUAUACUACAAAAUAUUAAUCACCAAGACAAAUUAGUAGGUAUGAAGUAGGUUUAUCAUGGGAACAGAGCAGGUACACAAUAUGCUGAAGGAAAUGCUCAUAUUCUAGGGUAUGUUAAACCCAGCAAUCCCAGUCCAUGGGGGAGAACUUGAUAUUCAACAAAUACUGCUGGGAAAACAUUUAAGAAGUCUGAAAGAAAUCUAGGUCUAUAUAAAGUAGCAUGUCAUAUCUAUAUACUAAAAGAAACUCCAAAAAAGUACAUGACUGGCGUAAACAUUAGAGGAACAAGGAAGAAAUCCCCCAUCCUAUGGAAAAGCGGAGCGGUUUAUUAAAUUAAGAAAGCAUUCUAAAACCCAAAAUGAGUAAUUUUGAUUACAUAAAAUGGUUUUUGUGUUUAAAAAAAAAAAAAGUCAGUGAAGCUAGAAUGAUU
ensembl:lncRNA